CUCCCUCUCAUGGGACCCUUGGAAGCAACUGUUAGGACAAAGUGGUUGCCAAGGCAGUGACCUCAUUCAGUUCCUGAAGGAAGUGACCUCACCUCACUUCCUUGGUGAUGGAACUCUCUGAACUUGGGAUCCAGGAAGCCAGACACCCAGAGCCAGUCCCAGUGCCAGUUCCAGUGGUCUCACUUGUUUGGAUUUACCAAAGACAGAGUCAGUCUUUCUUGGUACCUACUUAUGUGAAGAUGGCCAAAUGCCAGGAAAGCUCUGAAGAGGGGACGUUCCUGAGAAAGCAGAUAGAAGCACUAGAGAACCUUUGGAUGUCCUGUUGCUCAUCAGGACUGAACCAGACAGUGCCUUGAUUGACUGGGUUUCAUCAAAAUGGUGUAGAACAGAGAUGCAGGCAGGGUUAAAAUUACUACCAGCUUCUUCCAUGACCUGAAAAAUCAACUGGAAGAAUUAACCAUCUCUAAAAAUGAAGGCUUAAAAACAGUGAUAUAUUUUGUGUUAAAUUUCAACACCUCUGUGGGACUACCAAAAAGUGAGACUUCAAAGAAAAUCUUCAGCCUCUGAGCCACCUCAAGAUCAAACUGGUACCCACAAAGUAAAUAAAUGCCUCAGCUCUCAGGAAGGUAGAGUCAGGACAUCAGUUACCACUAGGUGUGACA